AUGCUUGAUUCAGCAGCACACGUACUAAAAUUGGAACGAUACAGAGACAAGUAGCAUGGCCUUGUGCAAAGAUGACAUGCAAAUUUGUGAAGCAUCACAUUAAAAA